UGGGGAAUAUUGCACAAUGGGGGAAACCCUGAUGCAGCAACGCCGCGUGAGUGAAGAAGUAUUUCGGUAUGUAAAGCUCUAUCAGCAGGGAAGAAAAUGACGGUACCUGACUAAGAAGCACCGGCUAACUCCGUGCCAGCAGCCGCGGUAAUACGGAGGGUGCAAGCGUUAAUCGGAAUAACUGGGCGUAAAGGGCAUGCAGGCGGUUCAUCAAGUAGGAUGUGAAAUCCCCGGGCUCAACCUGGGAACAGCAUACUAAACUGGUGGACUAGAGUAUUGCAGGGGGAGACGGAAUUCCAGGUGUAGCGGUGGAAUGCGUAGAUAUCUGGAAGAACACCAAAGGCGAAGGCAGUCUCCUGGGCAAAUACUGACGCUCAUAUG
rnacentral:rRNA from 1 species